UACGUAAGGUGCGAGCGUUGUCCGGAAUUAUUGGGCGUAAAGAGCUCGUAGGCGGCUUGUCACGUCGGAUGUGAAAGCCCGGGGCUUAACUCCGGGUCUGCAUUCGAUACGGGCUGGCUAGAGUGUGGUAGGGGAGAUCGGAAUUCCUGGUGUAGCGGUGAAAUGCGCAGAUAUCAGGAGGAACACCGGUGGCGAAGGCGGAUCUCUGGGCCAUUACUGACGCUGAGGAGCGAAAGCGCGGGGAGCGAACGGG
rnacentral:rRNA from 1 species